CAGUAGCCGCGGGAAUACGGAGGGGGCUAGCGUUGUUCGGAAUUACUGGGCGUAAAGCGCACGUAGGCGGCUUGGUAAGUUAGAGGUGAAAGCCUGGAGCUCAACUCCAGAAUUGCCUUUAAGACUGCCGAGCUAGCAGGUGAGAGAGGUAAGUGGAAUUCCGAGUGUAGAGGUGAAAUUCGCAGAUAUUCGGAAGAACACCAGUGGCGAAGGCGGCUUACUGGCUCAUACUGGACGCUGAGGUGCGAAAGCGUGGGGAGCAAACAGGAUUAGAUACCCCUGUAGUCCCUGUCUCUUAUAC
rnacentral:rRNA from 1 species